AAAACAGGCUGACCUCAGUCCCCUAAAUUGUUCCCCUGGUCUUUCUUCCACAGUGCUUGGUAAUCCUUCAUAGCCGACUCCUUUGUUCUUUGCAUCUGGACAGGGCUUCACUUUGUGAGAGUCUCCUAUUUCGAAAUAAGGAGACAGGGUAAAUCCUCCAGUCUUACCAGCUCUCCUGAGGCAGCUCUGGAGUUUCUGGAGACAUCACGUUCCCUGCUUAUUCCUGGAGAAACCUCAAUUCCAGUGUUCAGAGAGGACCUGAGCUUCAGAGAUUCAAGCUGGAAAACGGCUUCGUUCCCUGCUGCCUGGCACGACCUCAGGGGAUAUUUCUAGGUGGAGUUGGUGGCCUGGUGGAGUUGGUGGCACUGUGAGGUGGGAAGCAAAGGGACUGACUUCCUUCUUCCUACUAGUGGAGCGAAAGGCAGGAGGGGGACAUGCUCCUUAAGUGUCUUUUCUCAUUAUUCAUCAAAUGACUGCUCCUGGGGAUCUGUUUUUCUGCUAUACAUGCUGUGUUUUGAAUGUGUUGUU
rnacentral:lncRNA from 1 species